GGACUCGAUACAAUCCACGAGUGUCUCCUCCAUCUUCCUUGGUUUCCACCCUAAAUUCUUCAGCUUGUCCGAAGUGACUCCAACGUUAAAGUCCACAUCAACCAUCCUGCCAACCCAAAAUUUCGUAAUGAAAAUCCUUCGUAGUAUAUGAUAAGCAAGCUAUGACAUGGUGUUGAUAGUCUUGAUGCCAUGACACUUACUUGUCUGCAUAAGUGUAGCUAGGGUACAUGUUCUUCAUGAUUGCCAGCAAAUCCUUUAGGUCCACUUGGUCCAGUGAGCAUAUGUAUCUCUCAGAUGGCCCUGCCUUGUUGUACAACAGGAGCAAUGCGUCGGUAACAUCGCGAACGUCUACGAUGGGAAAGAACUUGUUGUUCAUCAUGUCAGGGCCUCCUGCGAUCGGACAUAUGAUGGAACUACAUUAGGCAUAAGGAUGUGUAUUUUAAAAGGUCAUUCUCUGAACUUCAUUAAAACCGGGGGUGUCUUAUUACACUAUUAAUAUAAAAGCCGAGGAGCUCCUCCGACGUCAAUUUUUGUUCUGAACUUCAUCGCUCUGCUGCACUUCGACAACAAAAACAGCAAAAUGGAAGGAAAACAACCGGCUUUGGUUUCCAAAAGUACUAACCACUAACCACAUGUGAUGUGUAGGGCUGGAAUUCGAGCCGAGUCGAGCCAGCUCGGCUCGACUCGCUAGAGCUCGUUUCGUUAACGAGCUAGCUCGACUCGACUCGUUGUUAUAACGAGCUCAAAUCCAAGAUUGGCUCGACUCGUAUAACUCGCAAGCUGGCUCUUUUAGCUUGUUAAGCUCAUUAAAGAUAUGAACAUAAAACGCUCAUAUAUUAUAAAAUGACUAUGUAUAUAUUAAACAUAUAUAUCACUAAACAAUAGUAAUUUGCUUGUAACGCAUGAGUCUGGGCCUUCAACGGCUAGGCCUUGUGUUGUGUGCCUGGGACAUAGGGUGCUGAAUGGCUGAUCUUUUUUUGUAUUGGGAGUGGCUGAUCUUUUGUACCGAGCCUAACGAGUUACACGAGUACUCGUGAGAUUGGCUCGUUUAACUUGGUCUAUAAACGAUCUUAAACUAAAGCUCGGCUUGCCUCGUUAUUCUUCGAGUUCGAGCCGAUUCGAGCCGAGUCACGAGCUACUCAUUUAGCUCGCGAGCUUCGAGCUUUUUUUCCAGCCCCAGUGAUGUGCAAUGUACAAAAUGAUUAUGUAUCCUUGUGAUAGAUGAGCUGAGGAGUGGAACCUUUUAUCAUGUAGACGAGGACCUUGCUGCUGGUAUUGACCGCCACAUGCUGCAAUAGAGGGCCGAAGACCAGACCAGGGCAAAGUGCGACGACGUGCAGCCCGUUCUUCUCUCCGUAUUCCAGGGCCGAAGACCGGACUAUCCAGACGGUUAAAUUUUGUGGAGCUUGCUUAAUGUCCUAACAUGCUUGGAUGUAUGAGGAAUAAGAUUUUACCUUGGAUAUGACCAUUUGUGUGAUUUAUUUGUAUGCAUGGUAGCAUGGGGGGACUAUCCAGACGGUUAAAUUUUGUGGAGCUUGCUUAAUGUCCUAACAUGCUCGGAUGUAUGAGGAAUAAGAUUUGAUCUUGGAUAUGACCAUUUGUGUGAUUUAUUUGUAUGCAUUGUAGCCCGUAGCAACGCACGGGUAUACUACUAGUGUUCAUAACUCUGCAGUCACUGCUUUUAGAGUACUCCUCCAGAGUCCGCUUUCUCUUGACGGAAGUGAGCACAAAUGCACAAUUUUUACAUUUGCAUCCAUCCUGAAUGGACUAGUGGAGGAGUCGAGAAAUAGAGACCUAACCCGUGCUUAUUUUUGCAAAACACAUUUCAUGAUGUUUCAGGCCAAAUGCAGAAUCAAUGGCACAAUUAUGGGAUCAUUCUCAUUCCUGGAUAGGCGGCAUUCGGUAGAUGAAUGGAAGCCGGCAUGGUUCUUCGUCUGUAACCCCAAGAAGCCCUGCUUUUUCAUAGGACUCGAUACAAUCCACGAGUGUCUCCUCCAUCUUCCUUGGUUUCCACCCUAAAUUGUUCAGCUUGUCCGAAGUGACUCCGACGUUAAAGUCCACAUCAACCAUCCUGCCAACCCAAAAUUUCGUAAUGAAAAUCCUUCGUAGUAUAUGAUAAGCAAGCUAUGACAUGGUGUUGAUAGUCUUGAUGCCAUGGCACUUACUUGUCUGCAUAAGUGUAGCUAGGGUACAUGUUCUUCAUGAUUGCCAGCAAAUCCUUUAGGUCCAUUUGGUCCAGUGAGCAUAUGUAUCUCUCAGAUGGCCCUGCCUUGU
rnacentral:lncRNA from 1 species